AUGAACGCUAGCUACAGGCUUAACACAUGCAAGUCGAGGGGCAGCAUGGUCUUAGCUUGCUAAGACUGAUGGCGACCGGCGCACGGGUGAGUAACACGUAUCCAACCUGCCGUCUACUCUUGGACAGCCUUCUGAAAGGAAGAUUAAUACAAGAUGGCAUCAUGAGUCCGCAUGUUCACAUGAUUAAAGGUAUUCCGGUAGACGAUGGGGAUGCGUUCCAUUAGAUAGUAGGCGGGGUAACGGCCCACCUAGUCUUCGAUGGAUAGGGGUUCUGAGAGGAAGGUCCCCCACAUUGGAACUGAGACACGGUCCAAACUCCUACGGGAGGCAGCAGUGAGGAAUAUUGGUCAAUGGGCGAGAGCCUGAACCAGCCAAGUAGCGUGAAGGAUGACUGCCCUAUGGGUUGUAAACUUCUUUUAUAAAGGAAUAAAGUCGGGUAUGUAUACCCGUUUGCAUGUACUUUAUGAAUAAGGAUCGGCUAACUCCGUGCCAGCAGCCGCGGUAAUACGGAGGAUCCGAGCGUUAUCCGGAUUUAUUGGGUUUAAAGGGAGCGUAGAUGGAUGUUUAAGUCAGUUGUGAAAGUUUGCGGCUCAACCGUAAAAUUGCAGUUGAUACUGGAUAUCUUGAGUGCAGUUGAGGCAGGCGGAAUUCGUGGUGUAGCGGUGAAAUGCUUAGAUAUCACGAAGAACUCCGAUUGCGAAGGCAGUCUGCUAGGCUGCAAGUGACAUGGAGGCACGAAAGUGUGGGGAGCAAACAGGAUUAGAUACCCUGGUAGUCCACACGGUAAACGAUGAAUACUCGCUGUUUGCGAUAUACUGCAAGCGGCCAAGCGAAAGCGUUAAGUAUUCCACCUGGGGAGUACGUUCGCAAGAAUGAAACUCAAAGGAAUUGACGGGGACCCGCACAAGCGGUGGAGCAUGUGGUUUAAUUCGAAGCAACGCGAAGAACCUUACCAAGGCUUGACAUAUACAGGAAUAUUUAAGAGAUUAAAUAGCUCUUCGGAGUCUGUAUACAGGUGGUGCAUGGUUGUCGUCAGCUCGUGCCGUGAGGUGUCGGCUUAAGUGCCAUAACGAGCGCAACCCUUGUUGUCAGUUACUAACAGGUUCCGCUGAGGACUCUGACAAGACUGCCAUCGUAAGAUGUGAGGAAGGUGGGGAUGACGUCAAAUCAGCACGGCCCUUACGUCCGGGGCUACACACGUGUUACAAUGGGGGGUACAGAGGGCCGCUACCACGCGAGUGGAUGCCAAUCCCCAAAACCUCUCUCAGUUCGGACUGGAGUCUGCAACCCGACUCCACGAAGCUGGAUUCGCUAGUAAUCGCGCAUCAGCCACGGCGCGGUGAAUACGUUCCCGGGCCUUGUACACACCGCCCGUCAAGCCAUGGGAGCCGGGGGUACCUGAAGUGCGUAACCGCGAGGAGCGCCCUAGGGUAAAACUGGUGACUGGGGCU
rnacentral:rRNA from 1 species